rfam:Myotis lucifugus cont2.9164, whole genome shotgun sequence.
GGUGGUUUUUGGGUGACACACCCCGGAAUCAGUCUCUCUCCUCUCUGGUUCCAGGUGCAUCACCUGAGAACCACA